ensembl:lncRNA
AUGCGGACCGCUCUGCUUCUCGCGGUGUUCUCGUGCUUUUCUCUUAUCGAGGGAAAGCCAUUCGAAGAUAAAACGUGUGUUGGAAUUCGCAGAGAAGAUUCUUCUUAUGACUUUGACCUGCCCGACGCUGUGGCCGUGAACUUGCAAGACCUCACCUGUGAUGCAGAGUGGACCAUUGAUCGAUUCACAGCUAUCCUGGAUGGAAAUUCAGCAUACUUUUCUCAUCCCUUCAAAAACGUAACCCGUAAUGGAAUCAGUGUGACUUACUGUCCAUUUUCAGUCAUAUUCCAUGCCUCUUGUCCUAAUUAUGUCAAUCACCUUACAUGUUCUUGCACCAAUUCCACCAGCAUCUAUCCAGUGUUUAGCACAACUCUGCCAUCUAGAGAUUCAUCCUCCACUGCAAUCAAAACUAAUUCUUCAGUGAGACAACACUUUCAGAAAUUCCUCACAAAACAGAAGAAUAACAGUAGUAAUAAUUAUCCUCAUUUCGAUGUUGGUCGAGGUUAUGGAAUCGCAGACUGCAAAAACAAUAUGCUGCCAUUGCUGUUGCUGCCAUUUUUGUCAUAACCCUUGUCAUUUUGGCUUUCCACUCUGCAAG